CAUUCAUAGUUUUUCUAUUAUUUAAGUUGUUGCAUGUUUUGGUCAUUGUGGAGGAAGGGAGGUGGUGCGUUCUAGGUGCUUAUUUUAUUUUCGGAAAGUAAUACUUCUCAUGUGUGUGUGUGUGUGUGUAUAAUGUCCCGACCCAGACUAUCCUCACUGGCAUAAAUAAAUAAGUGUAAUUCGUGUACACUGGUUGGAAAAUUCACGUCGAACAGAAAAGAAACAGAACAGGAAGUGGAAUCGUCCCUCCUCCCACUCUCCAAUCACUGUCCCCAAAAUUUACCCUCAUCAGUGUUCCUUGUGAUUCUCCCAGGACUUUACCCCCUCCGUACACACCAUCGUGUGUCUCCCACUACUCUGCAUACAUACAAGCUCUUAGAAUGUAGAGCUAGUGGGGUCGCGGGAUCCAGCCCUGUGCACCAGGGGCCCCUCCUUCUGAUGCAAGGACUUUGAGGAGGAGGUGGAGGCCCCUGCGGGCUCACUGGGGUCAGAGCUUUGUGAUUUCAGCAGGGAGGAAUGGGCGAAGGGUGCACGGCCAACAGAAGGGGGGAAAUGGAGCAAGCUCUGGACAAUUGCUGCUAGGAAAUCAGCCAGACUGUGGUGAGCAACCCUUUGAGGAAGGUAUCAUCAGCCCCAUUUUCUAGAUGACAAGACCCGAGGCACAGAGAGCUGAAGGUACUUGUUCAAAGUCACCCCGUUGCAGAGCCAGGAUUUGAACUCAGUUCUGUCUGACUUUGGGGUCUGUUACCCCCACUCAGAGGUAAUGAACAUGGGGAACGCCAAACUUUUGUUUUAUGCCCCACCUCCACCCAUCAUCCGAGGGUAACCAGUAUCCUGUCUUAAAACGCCAUGGAUUAGUUUUGCCCAUUUUCAAACUUUAUAAAAGGUAAUCAUAUGUGUAUUAUUUGGUGUCUGAGUUCUUUCAUUUAGUCAUGUUUGGGAGAUUUAUUCACGUGGUUUGUGCUGAUUCAAUCUCAUUGCUGUAUGCUAUUCCAUUGUAUAAAGAACACCUUAUUUUUAAAGACCUCUUGACUUGUGGUUAAACAUUCUACACUUGAAUUGCUCUACUGGGCAACUCCCGUGGUUUAUCUGGCUAGUCUGGGUGUCUCUGAAAGAGGCUUAAUCUUCCCAGAAGGCACUUCGUUUUUAAAAAAGACUUUUUGUUAGCCCCAUGGCUCCUUAACUGCUUAAAUACAUGCAGAGGAGGUCUGUGAGCAAUGUCGCUGGGCCCAGUGAUCCCCCUCCAACUGUCCCCUUGCAUGCCCCUUUAUUCCUCUAAGUCACUUUGCCAAGAAGAUGACACCUGAUCGUGUUUAGGUAGCUGCAACCCUUAUUACCAGAAAUAGGACAGUUUUGAGAUCAAGGCAGUUUGAAGUUUUCUCUGAGAUAUCAGGAGCGAAGGUACCUAUUAGAAAGUUUAAUGUGUCUCUUAAUAGCCGUGUGAUCUUGGGCAAAUCAUCUAGCUUUUUUGAGCCUCAGCCUCCUCAUCUGCACCGUGGGGGAGAUGGCGACAAACAUAGGACCUCACAGCCGAUGAGGGUUAUUUGCAAGAUGGGUCUGAAGACUCAAGGGAAAGAAAUGUCUACUGAAGGAGAAGACCGAGUAGCUUCAGCCCCUGAAUUCAAAGGAGUGUUUGGCUGAAGCUUGGAUCUUAAGAAGAAGCAGAAGAAGCGUCAAGAAACAGCUAGGAGAAAUCACUCGAUCCACUUAGAUGAUGCGCAUUAUGGGCGUAAAUGCCACUCAAAUGCUUUCGAGACAUACGGUGGUUCUCCCUGCAUGUGUUUCUUUUUUCCUCUUCUUCUUUUUUCGUUUUUCUUUUCUUUUUAAAAAAAUUCCGCCUCUAUCUUUGCAACAUUAAAAUCCUCCAAAGCAUUCUGUUUGUUUUAGGGGCAAGGGGGUGGUAGAGAAGCUGUGAGCCUGCAUUGCAUUCUAGCCUGGGCCGAGGAGAAGGGGAGACUGGGGUUGAGGAAGGGACAGUGAGUGGCAGCCACGCAGGAGGAGACGCGUUGUUCCUGGAGCCGAUGGGAGAGGCAAAGGGAUGUAAUGGGAGUUCGCUUGGGGUCAUGCAUUACAUCCAAGUGUGUAUUUCAGUACGACCUUCACCUCAACACCGUCUGCGCCCCCAUUCUUAACUGAGCACACGCCAAGGUAAAAAUAAAACCAAUUCACAGUCCUAUA